AGAGUGCCUCACCAUGGAGUGCAGGCGGGUUGGAGCACAGAUGAAGCCUCAGUCCAACCUGGGCAUUCCUGCAGCCAUGUGCAGUGACCCUUGUGUAUGUGAGUGCCUGUCAUGUGCCCACGUAUCCUGGUGGCACAAAACAUACUUUACAUAGAUUGUCAGGACCAAGACACAGAACCUUCUUGGGGCACACCACAAUAAUUCCCCCACUAGCAUUCACCUUAAAAUGAAAGAAUUUUUUUCUAAUUGAUGUGGAUUCCCCAGAUUUAUCUCAUUUCAUGAUGUCUUCAGAAUUGUGUGUUGUGCCACUAUCACACUUCACACUCUCAGUAAGGAGCUCUCAGUUGUCUCACCUGUUAUUGCUCCUCUUUAUUGUAAACGAUGUCCUAUAAAGAAGAUAUAUGUCUACAAUUGAGCUUUGAAGGAGGACCAUGGAGCCAAUUCCUUUUAAAGAGAAUGAAGUCAAGCAGUAAAUUUGCUGGUCACUCUUUUCAUAUGGACUGCAUCUCAGCCAGCAGUUGGUCUUUGAUGUUGUAACAAUGGCACUGGGACCUGAGGCAGAAGAGCACCCCCGUAAUACUGAAACUAGCCUGCAUUCAUUCCAAUUUGGAGAACAAUCUGCGGGAUAGCACACACAUCAGGGAGCCCAGAGAGUGAAUUCCAGGGCUGUGGGUCAUCUUUCCCAGUGAAAACCAGCCAUCUCUUCUACACCAUGUACCCUGCCUGCUGCGUUCUUUACUCUUUUAUUAAAAUUGAAGUAUGAUAUUCCUACAGAAAUAUACACAUAUGUAACUCUACAGCUUAAUAAGAUUUCACAAACUGAAGACACCUAUGUAACCAAUGCCUAGAUCAAGAGGCAAAACAUCACCAGUGCCCUAGCUGCCCUCCUUGGACUCCCUUUUCAUCACUUCCUUGACAAAGGUAACUCUCUUCCAACAGCACAGGUUCCUUUUUCCUGGUUUGGAACUUCACCUAAACAGAAUUAUCCAGCAUGUACUUUACUGUGCCUGGUUUCCUUCACUCAACAUUACAUCUGUGAAAUUGUG